ACAUGCUUACAACAUAGCGUUAAUGCACUGGAUCCCAUUAGAACUUCGCAGUUAAGUGCACUUGGGAUAGAGUAGUACUAGGAUGGGUGACCCACCUGGGAAGUCCUAGUGUUUUACAUGCC
rfam:Picea glauca, whole genome shotgun sequence.